rnacentral:lncRNA from 1 species
UGGGAACAGAUUUUUUAAUAAGCAAACUCAAUUUACGAGUUGAACAUUUUCUAAAAUUAAAAGAUAUUAGCCCUAAAACGACAAAAAACAAAAACCAAAACUACAUGAGUAAAAAGCAAUUAAUGUCCGCGCGAUUUAGGACUAGCAGACAACAACCAAAAACAAAUAAAACAAAAAAACAGAAACAAAAAAGUUAUAUACACGAAAUGUUCAUUGUAAAGUUAGUUAAGGGCUUGAGAACUAAAGAAUAAAUCGGGAGCAUGGCGGAGGAUGAUUCGAACAAAUACUAAGUGCAUUAUGCGUUGGAAGGGGACAGGAGAUGAAAACCAUUUACUAGCCUAAAAGUAUUCAAUUAUUAAGUGAACUUAGUUGGAGCGCCUAAAAGAUGGUCGGUCAAGGUGGUUUUUGCUGGAAUGAUAUAUGAAACCAAAAACAACCCCGAAGAUGCAAUUGUUUCUAAAACAAAUAAGAUAGAAUAACGGGCGCCACACACAACCACACACACACACACACACACACACUAUGUACACACACACACAACACCUACAUACAUUAGGAUCGGAAUGAAAAAAUCUAGCUACAGAAUUGCAUAUUAUAUACAUACAUCUAUAUAUACAUACAAGUACACUUUAUAUAUAUAUAUGUAAUGGGCAGAAAACAAAAUGUUGUUGUAGUGCAAUUACAAUUAAGUUUUGUUUUGCCACCAAAUCCAGAGUAAAUACCAAACCGCAGAUACAUAAUGUAUACAUACAUAGUACAUAUGUGAGUACAUAUGCAUAGCAAAAAGGUCAAAAAGUGGGUCAAGAUUUUUAAGAUGACGAAAGAGAACAACUGAUUGUUUGUAAUUCCUUUUACAGGCAAUGAUACCAAACAAAAAAAUACAAAAAAAAAAAAGAAAACUAAAAACAAG